GUGAGGACGUGCUGCCUUUAACAUGGUUUGUAGUCUGAUUUAAUCAUGAAAUACAGGCAGAUCCCAGUCUCUCCUCCUCCUGUGGUUCAAACUGGAGUAUUGUUGUUGCUGAUAAAAUGGUUAUCCUGUUUUCAUCAGAGUUCUCAAACCAUCCUGCUGCUUCUGGUCAUCUCACGCCAGGUCAAAGAUUGAAAAGACGGACAGCAACGGCUAUCUUCCAGAGAAAAUAAAUACACAAAGCGGACAAUUUAACCAGAAACUGAUGUGGACACCAUUGAUGUUUGCCUGGACGGACAGUUUCUGCUGGUCUGAGAAAGAAAUGGAAACCUUCAAAGUCCCUGUGAUAGCCAGAGUCACAGGACCAAAGGAUUCAGGUGAGAUCGAUCUGUAAUUCAGAUGUUUUCCAGGAGAAUCCUGGGAAAACAAAUAUUGUUGAACAUGACAUUGUUGUUAGAGAAGAUGCUUCUGUGAGAAGAUUAAGUUAUAGGAUCCAUGAGUGCCUGUUGGCCUCACUGAGGAUGGAGGUUGACCUGAUGCUGUCCCUGGGGAUCAUCCAAUAGUGUAACCCAAUGAUGCUCGUACCAAAGGAUGGAAGCAUAAGGUUCUGCAUUGAUUUCAGUUCACAGUAAUGCCAUUUGGGUUGAACGGUGCCCCAGCAACUUUCUGGAGACUCAUGGACCAGGUACUUCAUGAUUUAUCUGGUUUUGCUGAAGCAUAUCUGGAUGACAUCAUCAUUUACAGGAACACCUGUGUUGGAUCGCCUUCAUUCUGCCGGGCUGACAGUCAACCCAUUGAAGUGCAUCGUUGCUGCUGCAGAGACUGAGUACCUGGGCCAUCAUUACAUCAUCAGCAAUGGGGUUGUACACCCUCAGGUCAACAAAACCCAGGCCAUAGAGUCCUGUGCCCUGCCACAAACAAGGAAGCAGCUCCGAUCCUUUUUGUGCUAUCCGGCUUCUAUCACUGCUUCAUAACAACAGUGCAGCUCUACACAAAGACUUGACUAGAUCCCAGAGUCCCAAUCAGAUCCACUGGACAGAGGAGGCAGUGACAGCUUUCAGUGAUAUCCAACAAUCACUAGGUAAGCAACCUGUUCUGUACAGCCCAGACUUAGACAAACAUUUUCUUCUCCUCCAGGAUGAUCGGCAUCCAGUCGCCUACAUCAGAUGGAAACUGUUCCCCAGAGAGGUUCGGUAUUUGACUGAGGAGAAGGAGGCACUAGCUAUCAAGUGGGCCCUUGAUUCCUUCCCAUACUACCUUCUUGGUCCAGAGUUCACCUUGGCGACGGAUCACAAGGCACGUUUGGUUUGUAGACUUGGUUUUCUAUUUAUGGGUGAAAUAAAAACCUACCUUUUCUUAAAACUUAUUCCUGUGUCUCAUGCGUUACUGCUCGGUCCCUAACAGUCCCCCCACAAGAGAAUCCUUCUCACCAGGG